rnacentral:rRNA from 1 species
CCUACGGGCGGCAGCAGUGGGGAAUAUUGGACAAUGGGCGAAAGCCUGAUCCAGCCAUGCCGCGUGUGUGAAGAAGGCCUUCGGGUUGUAAAGCACUUUCAGUGGGGAAGAAAGCCUUGGGGCUAAUACCCUCGAGGAAGGACAUCACCCACAGAAGAAGCACCGGCUAACUCCGUGCCAGCAGCCGCGGUAAUACGGAGGGUGCGAGCGUUAAUCGGAAUUACUGGGUGUAAAGCGCGCGUAGGCGGUCUGAUAAGCCGGUUGUGAAAGCCCCGGGCUCAACCUGGGAACGGCAUCCGGAACUGUCAGGCUAGAGUGCAGGAGAGGAAGGUAGAAUUCCCGGUGUAGCGGUGAAAUGCGUAGAGAUCGGGAGGAAUACCAGUGGCGAAGGCGGCCUUCUGGACUGACACUGACGCUGAGGUGCGAAAGCGUGGGUAGCAAACAGGAUUAGAUACCCGAGUAGUC